ACAGUAAUAGUAACAAAAGAGAAGACGUAGUAGUAUCAAUAAGUAAUGAAAACUAUUUUAAUAAAAAUAUGCAUAACAGAAAUUAUAUAUAUGAGGAAAAACACAAUUAUAAUUUAAAAAUUGGUAAUAAAAAACAAGACUAUCGUUGUAAUGAAAUGCCUACAUCAUAUUAUACGAACCAAAUGGAACAAAAUUUUUAUUAUAAUAAAUUUAAUCAGAAUAAUACGACUACUAAUACUGCUACUACCAUUGCUACUAAUACUGUUAUUGCUAAUAAUAAUAAUAAUAAUAACAAUAAUAACAAUAAUAAUAAUAACAACAAUAAUAAUAACAACAAUAAUAAUAAUAAUAAUAAUAACAAUAACAAAAACAGUGCCACUACUACUACACCUAAUAAUAGUAAUAAUAAAAAUAAUAAAAAUUAUGACGGAGGCAGCAGUAGUUAUAACAGGAAUUAUAAACAUCACAAUGAUAAUAAUUAUACCAUUUUUAUUAAUGACAGUGAAGAACGCGAAAAUAGGAGUAUGAAAAAUUUAAGCAAAAGCAGCAAUAGUAACAAAUAUGGUAAUAGUGGAAACAGCGGUAACAGUUAUGUUGACAAUGGUAAUAGCAAUAGUAGGAGAAAUAGUAACAUAUAUAAUGACAAUAAUAAUAACAAUAAUAAUAACAAUAAUAAUAACAAUAAUAAUAACAAUAGUGAUAACAAUAAUAAUAACAAUAAUAAUAGCAAUAAUAAUAAUAAUAAUAACAACAGUAAUAAUAACAAUAGUAAUAAUAACAAUAGUAACAAAAACGCCUUAACAAGAGAAGAAAAUACGGAUACCAUGUACAUGCAACGGUCAGGUAAAAAAGAUUAUUAUUAUGAAGAAACCAGGAAAAAGGAACACAGAAAAAGUGAAAGUAUUAAAGAAAUGGAUAAAAAGGAAAUUGCAAAUGAUAAAAACAAAAAUAAAAAUAAUGAAAAUAAAAGUAACAGUUACACAGACAAUAAUAUGACUAAUAACAAAAGUGUAAAGAAUAUACAAAAUAAAUAUAACAACGUAAAUAAUAACAAAAAUGUAAACAGUCGAAGUAAUACAAAAAAUAAUAAUGCUAGCACUAGUAAUAAUGACAAUAUUAAUAAUACUACCGCUAAUGAUAAUAAAAGUUUUGUAAAAAAAAAUGAAGACCUUAUGCAGAAUACCAAAUUAAAAAAUAGAGAUGAACGAAGUAAUAAAAAAAAUAAUAACUUAAAUAAAAAUGAAUCUCAAAAAAUCCAUGAAAUUGAAGAUGGUAACAUACACAACACGCAUAGUAGUAGUAAACAUCAUAGUACCCAUAGCGGAAGUGGUAACUACCAUAGUAGUCACAGUGGAAAUCACCAUAGUGGAAAUCACCAUAGUGGAAAUAACCAUAGUG
rnacentral:lncRNA from 1 species